AUUGAACGCUGGCGGCAUGCUUUACACAUGCAAGUCGAACGGUAACAGGCCGCGAGGUGCUGACGAGUGGCGAACGGGUGAGUAAUGCAUCGGAACGUGCCCAGUCGUGGGGGAUAACGCAGCGAAAGCUGCGCCAAUACCGCAUACGAUCUAUGGAUGAAAGCGGGGGACCGUAAGGCCUCGCGCGAUUGGAGCGGCCGAUGUCAGAUUAGGUAGUUGGUGGGGUAAAGGCUCACCAAGCCAACGAUCUGUAGCUGGUCUGAGAGGACGACCAGCCACACUGGGACUGAGACACGGCCCAGACUCCUACGGGAGGCAGCAGUGGGGAAUUUUGGACAAUGGGCGCAAGCCUGAUCCAGCAAUGCCGCGUGCAGGAAGAAGGCCUUCGGGUUGUAAACUGCUUUUGUACGGAACGAAACGGUCCUGGUUAAUACCUGGGGCUAAUGACGGUACCGUAAGAAUAAGCACCGGCUAACUACGUGCCAGCAGCCGCGGUAACAC
rnacentral:rRNA from 1 species